rnacentral:rRNA from 1 species
CGUACACUCCUACGGGAGGCAGCAGUGGGGAAUUUUCCGCAAUGGGGGAAACCCUGACGUAGCGACACCGCGUGAGCGAAGAAGCCCUUUGGGGUGUAAAGCUCUGUCAGCUGGAACGAAAACAAUGACGGUACCAGCAGAGGAAGCAUCGGCUAACUACGUGCCAGCAGCCGCGGUAAGACGUAGGAUGCGAGCGUUGUCCGGAUUUAUUGGGCGUAAAGAGUUCGUAGGUGGUUUGUUAAGUUUGGUGUUAAAGAGCGGGGCUCAACCCUGGGACUGCACUGGAUACUGGCAGACUCGAGUGUGGUAGAGGCUAGUGGAAUUCCCAGUGUAGCGGUGAAAUGCGUAGAUAUUGGGAAGAACACCGGUGGCGUAGGCGACUAGCUGGGCCAUAACUGACGCUGAGGAACGAAAGCCAGGGGAGCGAAUGGGAUUAGAUACCCGGGUAGUCCCAU